rnacentral:rRNA from 1 species
UACGAAGGUGUCUAGCGUUGUUCGGAAUCACUGGGCGUAAAGCGCGCGCAGGCGGACUAUCCAGUCAGGGGUGAAAUCCUGGGGCUUAACCUCAGAAUUGCCUUUGAAACUGAUAGUCUGGAGUGCAUGAGGGGAUGGCGGAAUUCCGAAUGUAGAGGUGAAAUUCGUAGAUAUUCGGAGGAACACCGGUGGCGAAGGCGGCCAUCUGGCAUGCAACUGACGCUGAGGCGCGAAAGCGUGGGGAGCAAACAGG